rnacentral:rRNA from 1 species
GUUGGGUACUCUAUUGAGACUGCCGCUGACAAGGCGGAGGAAGGUGGGGACGACGUCAAGUCAUCAUGGCCCUUACGACCAGGGCUACACACGUGCUACAAUGGGUAUUACAGAGGGCUGCGAAGGUGCGAGCUGGAGCGAAACUCAAAAAGGUACUCUUAGUCCGGAUUGCAGUCUGCAACUCGACUGCAUGAAGUCGGAAUCGCUAGUAAUCGCAGGUCAGAAUACUGCGGUGAAUACGUUCCCGGGU